rnacentral:rRNA from 1 species
UACGUAGGGCGCAAGCGUUAUCCGGAAUUAUUGGGCGUAAAGAGCUCGUAGGCGGUUUGUCGCGUCUGCCGUGAAAGUCCGGGGCUCAACUCCGGAUCUGCGGUGGGUACGGGCAGACUAGAGUGAUGUAGGGGAGACUGGAAUUCCUGGUGUAGCGGUGGAAUGCGCAGAUAUCAGGAGGAACACCGGUGGCGAAGGCGGGUCUCUGGGCCGACAUUGACGCUGAGGAGCGAAAGCGUGGGGAGCGAACAGG